rnacentral:rRNA from 1 species
GACGAACGCUGGCGGCGUGCUUAACACAUGCAAGUCGUACGGUAAGGCCCUUUCGGGGGUACACGAGUGGCGAACGGGUGAGUAACACGUGAGUAACCUGCCCACAACUUUGGGAUAACGCUAGGAAACUGGUGCUAAUACUGGAUAUGUGCUCCUGCUGCAUGGUGGGGGUUGGAAAGCUCCGGCGGUUGUGGAUGGACUCGCGGCCUAUCAGCUUGUUGGUGGGGUAGUGGCCUACCAAGGCGGCGACGGGUAGCCGGCCUGAGGGGGUGACCGGCCACAUUGGGACUGAGAUGCGGCCCAGGCUCCUACGGGAGGGAGCAGUGGGGAAGAUUGAACGAUGGGCGCAAGCCUGAUGCAGCAACGCCGCGUGCGGGAUGACGGCCUUCGGGUUGUAAACCGCUUUCAGCAGGGACGAAGCUUUUUGUGACGGUACCUGAAGAAGAAGCACCGGCUAACUACGUG